GAUAACAGGGCUUCAGCAAGGUAGCUGCUAGCAGACCUGUAGUGUUUUCUCUGGACAAGGCGAUGGAGACCGCGGGGCAGCGAGCAAGCCCGGGAGGUGAGCACGGCGUCGGGCAUGGAGUGAGAUGCUUCGAAGUGUAACCGUGCUGGAGGAGUUAUUACCGGGUGUAGCCCUGCAGCGACGAAGCGACCAGCCUCAGGCACCACCUCGGACCGAGACCACGCUGCCCUUGAGGAGCUGGGAUGGACAACCAUCAUCGCGCUGCCACGGCCGCAACUGGCUGUCGUUACGGGCUCACCAGAGGAGAGGCAAAGCUGGAGCAUCCCGGCGGAGCGGCCGUGCUGGGUACAGAGGAGCACACCGGGUGUUUGUGGGCAGGAGGAAGAGGAGGGCAGCUUCGGCUGGGAACACGCCCCUGCACUGGGAGAAUGCACUUGCCCACCAACCAUGCCAAAUACUUGCACGGGGACUGACCCAUUCAAGCGGGUCACGCGAACCUCCCUCGCAAGGUGCUUUCCAUUUAACGACCAAUAAUUUGCACACUCCGAACCUUGCUUCCGUCUUACAUUUGGCGUGGAGUUGUCGUAAGUUGUUCAAAGUUGAAAGCAAAGGAAAAUAGUACUGCAAUUCUGCCUGCCACAAAUUCAGAGAUUUGGGGCUUUUGCCGGAGGAAGAGGAAUGAAUGACAAAAAAGUACGUGGCGUAGGGCCCCGCGUCUCGAAGGCACAUCAGAGCUUUACCAAGAGGCUUUGCGUUGAGCGCUAUUUGCUGUUAUUAAAACGCCA